rnacentral:rRNA from 1 species
AUUGAACGCUGGCGGCAGGCCUAACACAUGCAAGUCGAGCGAGCGGCGGACGGGUGAGUAAUGUCUGGGAAACUGUCUGUUGGGGGGGGCGAACUACAGGAAACGGUAGCUCAUACCGCAUACCCUCAGAUGUGCCCAGAGGUGAGUAGCUGGUGGGUGGGGGAACGGCUCACCAAGGCGACGAUCCCUAGCUGGUCUGAGAGGAUGACCAGCCACACUGGAACUGAGACACGGUCCAGACUCCUACGGUAGGCAGCAGUGGGGAAUAUUGCACAAUGGGCGCAAGCCUGAUGCAGCCAUGCCGCGUGUAUGAAGAAGGCCUUCGGGUUGUAAAGUACUUUCAGCGGGGAGGCGUUACCCGCAGAAGAAGCACCGGCUAACUCCGUGCCAGCAGCCGCGGUAAUUC